rnacentral:rRNA from 1 species
CGGAAGGUCCGGGCGUUAUCCGGAUUUAUUGGGUUUAAAGGGAGCGUAGGCCGGAGAUUAAGCGUGUUGUGAAAUUGUAGACGCUCAACGUCUUGCACUGCAGCGCGAACUGGUUUCCUUGAGUACGCACAAAGUGGGCGGAAUUCGUGGUGUAGCGGUGAAAUGCUUAGAUAUCACGAAGAACUCCGAUUGCGAAGGCUAGCUCACUGGAGCGCAACUGACGCUGAAGCUCGAAAGUGCGGGUAUCGA